GACGAACGCUGGCGGCGUGCUUAACACAUGCAAGUCGAACGGAAAGGCCCUGCUUUUGUGGGGUGCUCGAGUGGCGAACGGGUGAGUAACACGUGAGUAACCUGCCCUUGACUUUGGGAUAACUUCAGGAAACUGGGGCUAAUACCGGAUAGGAGCUCCUGCUGCAUGGUGGGGGUUGGAACGUUUCGGCGGUUGUGGAUGGACUGGCGGCUUAUUAGCUUGUUGGUGGGGUAGUGGCUUACCAAGGCUUUGACGGGUAGCCGGCCUGAGAGGGUGACCGGGGACAAUAGGACUGAGAUAGGGCGCAGACGCCUACGGGAGGCAGCAGUGGAGAAUAUUGCACAAUGGGGCGAAGCCUGAGGCGGCAGCGCCGGGUGCGGGAUGACGGCCUUCGGGUUGUAAACCGCUUUAGCCUGUGACGAAGCGUGAGUGACGGUAAUGGGUAAAGAAGCACCGGCUAACUACGUG
rnacentral:rRNA from 1 species